UGACGACAAAUCUCCGGAAUCUCUGUAUCACCUUGAUGAUCCACUCGAACCCCUUUAUCUGAUGACUGUCUGAAUUGCAAACUUGUC